rnacentral:rRNA from 1 species
GCAGCCGCGGUAAUACGUAGGUGGCAAGCGUUGUCCGGAUUUACUGGGUGUAAAGGGCGUGUAGGCGGGACUGUAAGUCAGAUGUGAAAUGUCGGGGCUCAACCCCGGAGCUGCAUCUGAAACUGUGGUUCUUGAGUGCCGGAGAGGAAAGCGGAAUUCCUAGUGUAGCGGUGAAAUGCGUAGAUAUUAGGAGGAACACCAGUGGCGAAGGCGGCUUUCUGGACGGUAACUGACGCUGAGGCGCGAAAGCGUGGGGAGCAAACAGGAUUAGAUACCCC